AGCUGGUCUGCUAUGCAGCUGUAGCCGCUGCCUGUGCCCAUCUUACAGGGGUCUCUAGGGCUGGGUUUCUGGGGUCCGGUGAUCCGCAACAGUACUCCUGGACCUCCUCUGCCUUGCUGGAAAUGGACAUCUAAUUUCUCAGUCCCCAGGAAGGAACAUACACCUCAGGUGAGAUGACUCCUUGCAGCAAGAGCAAUGCCUUUGGAAGGACUCAGCUAUCACUUUGCAGCAGUGUGCAUUCCUGGAAAAUGGAAAUGUCUCUGUUAUCAGAAGCAAUCCCACAGCACAGGUCAUCAUCUUUUCCUGUAAAUAUCCCACAAAUGAUCCAAAUGAGUUUGGAAUUUACCUCCAUGAAGCACAAUUCUGCCUGCAUUUCUUCAUCUUUGCUUAAACCCAACACCUGCUGGAAGGUAAAGCUGGAUGCCCUGGUGUGCAAUCCAUGGAACAGUG
rnacentral:lncRNA from 1 species